GACGAACGCUGGCGGCGUGCCUAACACAUGCAAGUCGAACGGAAAGGCCCUGCUUUUGUGCGGUGCUCGAGUGGCGAACGGGUGAGUAACACGUGAGUAACCUGCCCUUGUCUUUCGGAUAACUUCAGGAAACUGGGGCUAAUACCGGAUAGGAGCUCCUGCUGCAUGGUGGGCGUUGGAAAGUUUCGGCGGUCGGGGUUGGAUGCGCGGCUUACCAGCUUGUUGGUCGGGUAGUGGAUUACCAAGUCUUUGACGGAUAGCCGGCCUGGGAGGGUGGACAGGGUCAUUAGGACUAAGGUAGGCAGCAGUGUGGAACAGGAGGCAAUGGGGGGAAGUAUGACACAGUGAGCCGGAGUGUGUGAAGAAGGCGUCGGGGGCGGAAAGACGGUCUGCGGGUUAAGAACAGCUGUAGCCUGAGACGAAGCGGGAGUGACGGUACUGAAUAAAGAAGCACCGGCUAACUACGUG
rnacentral:rRNA from 1 species